rnacentral:rRNA from 1 species
AUUGAACGCUGGCGGCAUGCCUUACACAUGCAAGUCGAACGGCAGCAUGGAGAGCUUGCUCUCUGAUGGCGAGUGGCGAACGGGUGAGUAAAGCAUCGGAACGUACCGUGUAGUGGGGGAUAACGUAGCGAAAGUUACGCUAAUACCGCAUACGCACUGAGGUGGAAAGCAGGGGAUCGUAAGACCUUGCGCUAUACGAGCGACCGAUGUCAGAUUAGCUAGUUGGUAGGGUAAAGGCCUACCAAGGCGACGAUCUGGAGCGGGUCUGAGAGGAUGAUCCGCCACACUGGGACUGAGACACGGCCCAGACUCCUACGGGAGGCAGCAGUGGGGAAUUUUGGACAAUGGGGGCAACCCUGAUCCAGCCAUGCCGCGUGAGUGAAGAAGGCCUUCGGGUUGUAAAGCUCUUUCGGCCGGGAAGAAAUCGCACAGGCUAAUACCCUGUGUGGAUGACGGUACCGGCAUAAGAAGCACCGGCUAACUACGUGCCAGCCGCCGCAGUAA